AUUCAGCUGCCGAGUUCUAAAUAGGACGAAAUGCGCGUCCUGGAU
rnacentral:hammerhead_ribozyme from 1 species